rnacentral:rRNA from 1 species
UGGGGAAUUUUGGACAAUGGGGGAAACCCUGAUCCAGCCAUCCCGCGUGUGCGAUGAAGGCCUUCGGGUUGUAAAGCACUUUUGGCAGGAAAGAAACGUCGCGGGUUAAUACCCCGCGAAACUGACGGUACCUGCAGAAUAAGCACCGGCUAACUACGUGCCAGCAGCCGCGGUAAUACGUAGGGUGCAAGCGUUAAUCGGAAUUACUGGGCGUAAAGCGUGCGCAGGCGGUUCGGAAAGAAAGAUGUGAAAUCCCAGAGCUUAACUUUGGAACUGCAUUUUUAACUACCGGGCUAGAGUGUGUCAGAGGGAGGUGGAAUUCCGCGUGUAGCAGUGAAAUGCGUAGAUAUGCGGAGGAACACCGAUGGCGAAGGCAGCCUCCUGGGAUAACACUGACGCUCAUGCACGAAAGCGUGGGGAGCAAAACAGGAUUAGAUACCCUGGUAGUCCACGCCCUAAACGAUGUCAACUAGCCUGUUGGGGGCCUUCGGGCCUUGGUAGCGCAGGCUAACGCGUGAAGUUGACCGCCUGGGGAGUACGGUCGCAAGAUUAAAACUCAAAUGAAUUGACGGGGGUCAUAGCUGUUUUCCU